GAAGUGAGUGGCGAACGGGUGAGUAACACGUGGGUAACCUGCCCAGAAGUAGGGGAUAACACCUGGAAACAGAUGCUAAUACCGUAUAACAGAGAAAACCGCAUGGUUUUCUUUUAAAAGAUGGCUCUGCUAUCACUUCUGGAUGGACCCGCGGCGUAUUAGCUAGUUGGUGAGGUAAAGGCUCACCAAGGCAGUGAUACGUAGCCGACCUGAGAGGGUAAUCGGCCACAUUGGGACUGAGACACGGCCCAGACUCCUACGGGAGGCAGCAGUAGGGAAUCUUCCACAAUGGACGCAAGUCUGAUGGAGCAACGCCGCGUGAGUGAAGAAGGGUUUCGGCUCGUAAAGCUCUGUUGU
rnacentral:rRNA from 1 species